rnacentral:rRNA from 1 species
CUCUUGACGUUAGCGGCGGACGGGUGAGUAACACGUGGGUAACCUACCUAUAAGACUGGGAUAACUUCGGGAAACCGGAGCUAAUACCGGAUAAUAUUUCGAACCGCAUGGUUCGAUAGUGAAAGGUGGUUUUGCUAUCACUUAUAGAUGGACCCGCGCCGUAUUAGCUAGUUGGUAAGGUAACGGCUUACCAAGGCGACGAUACGUAGCCGACCUGAGAGGGUGAUCGGCCACACUGGAACUGAGACACGGUCCAGACUCCUACGGGAGGCAGCAGGC